rnacentral:rRNA from 1 species
GAUGAACGCUGGCGGCGUGCCUAAUACAUGCAAGUCGAGCGAACACAUAAUGAGCUUUUUCCUUUGACGUUAGCGGCGGACGGGUGAGUAACACGUGGAUAACCAUCUUAUAUUACGGGGAUAACUACGGGAAAACGGAGCCAAUACCGGCUAAUACAUUCAACCGCAUGGUUCAAUAGAGCUACGCGCCUUUGCUGACUCUUAUAGAUGGAUUCGCGUCGUAUUAGCUAGUUGGUAAGGUAACGGCUUACCAAGGCUACGAUGCGUAGCCGACCUGAGAGGGUGAUCGGCCACACUGGAACUGAGACACGGUCCAGACUCCUACGGGAGGCAGCAGUGGGGAAUAUUAGACAAUGGGCGAAAGCCUGACCGAGCAACACCGCGUGGGUGAAGAAGGUCUUCGGAUCGUAAAACACUGUUAUCAGGAAAGAAAAGAUGUGUAAGUAACUGUGGACGUCUUGACGGUACCUAAUCAAAAAGCCACGGCUAACUACGUG